GACGAACGCUGGCGGCGUGCGUAACACAUGCAAGUCGAACGAGAGAGUGAGAGAAGCUUGCUUUUCUUACAAUCGAGUGGCAAACGGGUGAGUAACGCGUAAACAACCUGCCCCGCAGAUGGGGACAACAGCUGGAAACGGCUGCUAAUACCGAAUACGCUCCUCUUAGCGCAUGGUAAGAGGAAGAAAGGGUGGCCUCUGGAACAAGCUACCGCUGUGGGAGGGGUUUGCGUCUGAUUAGCUGGUUGGAGGGGUAACGGCCCACCAAGGCGACGAUCAGUAGCCGGUCUGAGAGGAUGAACGGCCACAUUGGAACUGAGACACGGUCCAGACUCCUACGGGAGGCAGCAGUGGGGAAUCUUCCGCAAUGGGCGAAAGCCUGACGGAGCAACGCCGCGUGAGUGAAGACGGCCUUCGGGUUGUAAAGCUCUGUUAUAGGGGACGAACGGCCGGGUAGCGAAGA
rnacentral:rRNA from 1 species